GACGAACGCUGGCGGCGUGCUUAACACAUGCAAGUCGAACGAAGUGGCGAACGGGUGAGUAACGCGUAAUCACCCUGCCCUUCAGAGGGGGACAACAGUUGGAAACGACUGCUAAUACCGCAUACUGAAGGAGGGGAUUGCGUCUGAUUAGCUAGUGGGGGGGGUAAUGGCCCACCAAGGCGAUGAACAGGAGCCGGUCUGGGAGGAUGAACGGCCACAUUGGGACCGGGACACGGCCCCAGCUUCCACGGGAGGGAGCAAGGGGGAAUCGUCCGGAAAGGACGAAAGGCUGACGGAGCAACGCCGCGGGAGUGAUGACGGCCUUCGGGUUGUAAAACUCUGUUUAUCGGGACGCGGUACCGGAAUAGAAAGCCACGGCUAACUACGUGCCAGCCGCCGCGGUAAUAC
rnacentral:rRNA from 1 species